GAUCAUGGCUCAGGAUGAACGCUAGCGGGCAGGCUUAACACAUGCAAGUCAGGGGUAUGGUUUUCGGACCAAGAGACCGGCGCACGGGUGCGUAACGCGUAUGCAAUCUACCUUUUGCAGAGGGAUAGCCAGAGAAAUUUGGAUUAAUACCUCAUAGUAUAGUACUUUGGCAUCAAGGAACUAUUAAAGUCACAACGGCAAAAGAUGAGCAUGCGUCCCAUUAGCUAGUUGGUAAGGUAACGGCUUACCAAGGCUACGAUGGGUAGGGGUCCUGAGAGGGAGAUCCCCCACACUGGUACUGAGACACGGACCAGACUCCUACGGGAGGCAGCAGUGAGGAAUAUUGGACAAUGGGCGCAAGCCUGAUCCAGCCAUGCCGCGUGCAGGAUGACGGUCCUAUGGAUUGUAAACUGCUUUUAUACAGGAAGAAACACUACCUCGUGAAGUAGCUUGACGGUACUGUAAGAAUAAGGAUCGGCUAACUCCGUG
rnacentral:rRNA from 1 species